CUGAAUGGUCUCCAAGUUUAAUGUCUUUGCUUUAUGAUGACCAAAUUACGCCUCGAUCCUGCCAAUGGUGAUAAACUUCCCCUGGAAGAAAGGAAGCAGCAAGAUUUCACCUUGGUCUCAGCACUGCCAUGGAAACGAGCACCAGAGAGGAGUCUGCAGGCUAGAUAGGAGCUGCAAAGAAGGCUAAACGUAAGGAAAAAGGCCAGCAGAAAAACAGACAUGUUUUAACCACAAGAAGAAACAGAUGAUGGGCUGCAGCCUGGCCUAGAACUUACGGAAGCUGAAGCUGGCAUUUCUGAGGCAAAGACCCACUCCAUAACAACUGAUGCCUUCGUGUCACGUGUGGCUGAUCUCAUCCAGCCCCUUGGACACUCAUGUUGUGGUGCCU